CAACACCACGCCUGACUGCCUUCGGACUCCCCAGUGGCGAUGUUUUUACACAUCGCACCAGGGGGGCAGUGUGGGGGAGGGGAGGCCCUCACCAUCAUCCGUGGCCAGGAAGGUGGCCGUGUAGGUGUUGGCCCGCACCAGGGCCGCCUCGCGGUCAAGCACCACGGCCGUGGUCACCUUGCCGCUCACAGGGUCGAUGUCCAGCCAGUCGCCCGGCACAGAAAGCUUCUUGUAGCUGCGCGCGGCCCCAGCACGCAGACACACGCGCACACAGCACCAACUGAACUGUGUGGCCGUCCCUUCAGGCAGCGAUGGACAGAAGAAGAGACGACGACAAUAGAGCAACCAUCCUGCAGCAAAAGUGACUCGUCAACAACCAUUCAAACACACGAGACGCACACGAGACACGCAUGACACACACAUUACACGAGACCCGCACCACAAAGACACGCAGGAGAUAGGCACAACACACGCAACAACAGAACAACUCGACGUGACACGCGCAGCGCACACACAAAAGAACGCGACGGAACGAAAACUGCGCGACGCACACUGCGGCACCACCGCCCACCCCACCACUCCCCCCCCAAACUCACAAACCCCCACCACCCAUCCUCACCCUCCACUGCCUGCCCAGACCUGAGAAAAGCAUCUCGAACCCACUGCAGUGUCGGCAAUUCCUCUCUCGCCCGCCCGCCGCUAACUCAGGGGGAUUUAUAGAGAUUUAAGCACGGCCCUGGCGCCUCUUAAUGGGCAAGUGAAUCACAGAGGAGCCAAGAGGGCACACGAUGCUGGGAAUCCGUGUGAGUCAUCCGACCACACACACGCAGACAAUGAGGGAUUGGGGGGGCAUCAUCAACGGUGGUUGAUGGCGGUGAUGUCACAAUUGCUGAUCUUGCUGCUGCCCACUGGAGGGGGGUGGGGGAUUAGGCCUUCGAUGAUGUCACCCCCACCACCACCGUGGAAGCCCGGUGAAAAGGGCACUUUGUUGAAGAGGUUCACGGUUCGGAGCCCGGCGGGCGCCCUGGUGAACCCCUCGCGGGGUCACCGCAGUACGAACCUGACGGUUAAUACUGGUCACCACCAGCACGCACCCCGUCGGCUGAGCGGCACACGUCAAAGGGUUCCGACGUAUGCAUGUGUGUUGAACGUCUUUCGCACCGUACGUAUCCAACCGCACUAAUCGGAGGUGGGGGCAGGGGGGGACAAACUAAACGCAAAGAGCGGUUCGAGAGAAACGA